rnacentral:rRNA from 1 species
CACGUAGGGUGCAAGCGUUGUCCGGAAUUAUUGGGCGUAAAGAGCUCGUAGGCGGCAUGUCGCGUCUGCUGUGAAAGACCGGGGCUCAACUUCGGUUUUGCAGUGGAUACGGGCAUGCUAGAGGUAGGUAGGGGAGACUGGAAUUCCUGGUGUAGCGGUGGAAUGCGCAGAUAUCGGGAGGAACACCGGUGGCGAAGGCGGCUUUCUGGCCAGUUACUGACGCUCAUGCGCGAAAGCUGGGGUAGCGAACCGGAUUAGAUACCCGGGUA